ensembl:lncRNA
GUAUUUUUCCGUUUGCCUCUGAUGACAAACCGACUGCAAGGAAUGAUUUUUCAUCGAAUAGAAUUGUGAAAAACACCUUGAGGAUUGAUUCUAAACAACGUUUGCCAUGUUUCUGUUGAUAUUAUGAAGCUAAUUUGGAAAAAAGUUUGGCGUUGUAAGUGACUGCAUUUUCGUUUUUUUUUCUUAGCCAAACGUGAUGAACAAAACGGAGCUAUUUCUUUUCCACAAAUAAUCUUUUUGGAAAAAAUUUACAUUCGCUAUUUGAGAGUCUCGUCAUUGAAAACAUCCGAAAUUCUUCAAAGGGAAGACAUCCUCCUCCCUCAUGUGGUACCCUUCCUGCAGGCUCAUCCUGACAUGACCCUCCAGAAUGACAAUGCCACCAGCCAUAUUGCUCGUUCUGUGCGAUAUUUCCUGCAGGACAUGAAUGUCAGUGUUCUGCCAUGGCCAGCAAAGAGCUCGGAUCUCAAUCCCAUUGAGCACGUCUGGGACCUGUUGCAUCAGAGGGUGAGGCCUCGGGCCAUUCCCCCCAGAAAUGUCCAGGAAAUUGUAGGUGCCUUGGUGGAAGAGUGGGGUAACAUCUCACAGCAAGGACACAUUAUUCCAUUUCUGUUAGUCACAUGUCUGUGGAACAUGUUCAGUUUAUGUCUCAGUUGUUGAAUCUUAUGUUCAUACACAUAUUUACACAUGUUAAGUUUGCUUUAAAUUAAAGCAGUUGACAAUGAGAGGACAUUUCUUUUUUUUCCUGAGUUUAUAAUAUGACAUGCUGUUUUCAUGUCACUUUUAAGAAAUAUGACAGGAAACCUGCCCUGUACACAUCACUUUUGGAAAAUCCCAUAGAAAUGCAUUGUUCAGCAGAGAGACAGGUAACCCAUUAUGGAGAGACCUUUCAGUCUUUACACAAAGUUAGUAAACUACAUAAAGAUGUCUAGCCAUAGUGCCAUUGCAGAUUUAAUAACCUAUUACGCUCUAAAGACCAGUUUUUAAAAAAAUGAACGCCAACCAGCUACACUGGUUCUAAUUGGGCAGGAUUGACAUGGCCACAAUGAUGACUUAAAAUGUUUGAGGUGGUGUGGAG